UACGUAGGGUGCAAGCGUUGUCCGGAAUUAUUGGGCGUAAAGAGCUCGUAGGCGGCUUGUCACGUCGACUGUGAAAACCCGGGGCUCAACUCCGGGCCUGCAGUCGAUACGGGCUGGCUUGAGUGCGGUAGGGGAGACUGGAAUUCCUGGUGUAGCGGUGAAAUGCGCAGAUAUCGGGAAGAACACCCGUGGCUAAGGCGGCUCUCUAGUACGGUACUGACGCUGAGACGCGAAAGCGUGGGGAGCGAACAGG
rnacentral:rRNA from 1 species